UGGGGAAUAUUGCACAAUGGGGGAAACCCUGAUGCAGCGACGCCGCGUGAGCGAAGAAGUAUUUCGGUAUGUAAAGCUCUAUCAGCAGGGAAGAAGAAUGACGGUACCUGACUAAGAAGCACCGGCUAAAUACGUGCCAGCAGCCGCGGUAAUACGUAUGGUGCAAGCGUUAUCCGGAUUUACGUGGGUAGUAAAGGGAGCGCAGGCGGUGCGGCAAGUCUGAUGUAGAAAGCCCGGGGCUCAACCUCGGUACUGCAUUGGAAACUGUCGUACUAGAGUGUCGGAGGGGUAAGUGGAAUUCCUAGUGUAGCGGUAGAAAUGCGUAGAUAUUAGGAGGAACACCAGUGGCGAAGGCGGCUUACUGGACGAUAACUGACGCUGAG
rnacentral:rRNA from 1 species